GGCGAACGCUGGCGGUGUGCUUAACACAUGCAAGUCGAACGGAAAGGCCCUGCUGUUGUGGGGUGCUCGAGUGGCGAACGGGUGAGUCACACGUGAGUAACCUGCCCUUGACUUUGGGCUAACGUCAGGAAACUGGGGCUAAUACCGGAUAGGAGCUCCUGCUGCAUGGUGGGGGUUGGAAAGUUUCGGCGGUUGGGGAUGGACUCGCGGCUUAUCAGCUUGUUGGUGGGGUAGUGGCUUACCAAGGCUUCGACGGGUCGCCGGCCUGAGAGGGUGACCGGCCACAUUGGGACUGAGAUACGGCCCAGACUCCUACGGGAGGCAGCAGUGGGGAAUAUUGCACAAUGGGCGGAAGCCUGAUGCAGCAACGCCGCGGGCGGGAUGACGGCCUUCGGGUUGUAACCCGCUUUCGCCUGUGACGAAGCGUGAGUGACGGUAAUGGGUAAAGAAGCACCGGCUAACUACGUG
rnacentral:rRNA from 1 species